GACGAACGCUGGCGGCGUGCUUAACACAUGCAAGUCGAACGGUAAGGCCCUUUCGGGGGUACACGAGUGGCGCACGGGUGAGUAACACGUGGGUGAUCUGCCCUGCACUUUGGGAUAAGCCUGGGAAACUGGGUCUAAUACCGGAUAGGACUACGCGAUGCAUGUCGUGUGGUGGAAAGCUUUUGCGGUGUGGGAUGGGCCCGCGGCCUAUCAGCUUGUUGGUGGGGUGAUGGCCUACCAAGGCGACGACGGGUAGCCGGCCUGAGAGGGUGUCCGGCCACACUGGGACUGAGAUACGGCCCAGACUCCUACGGGAGGCAGCAGUGGGGAAUAUUGCACAAUGGGCGCAAGCCUGAUGCAGCGACGCCGCGUGGGGGAUGACGGCCUUCGGGUUGUAAACCCCUUUCAGCACAGACGAAGCGUAAGUGACGGUAUGUGCAGAAGAAGCGCCGGCCAACUACGUG
rnacentral:rRNA from 1 species